CAGUGGCGGCCAUUACUCCUCUCUCCUCUACUGCUCUCACUUCUCCUCCUCCUAAAUCAUCAACUGUUCUCUCUCGUCAAGCCACAGUCCCUCCCCUCAACUUUAAUACAACUUCAUCAAGUACAGGUGCUCAUAAUGCAGUACAGAAUACUGCUCCUCCUCUUCAAUCAUCAACUCCUAAACCACUAGCAAGAUCGUUUUCAUAUUUAUCACCACCACCAUACUCUCCCCCUCCUCCUCCAUCAUUCCAUCAGACCACACCUCCUUCACCACACCCACAUAUACAGGUAUCCUCAUCUCUGAGUGAGUUACAGUUGAAGAGGCUGAAGGUGAUGGAUG